GAUGAAGAACGUAGCGAAAUACGAUAAGUAAUGUGAAUUGCAGAAUUCAGUGAAUCAUCGAAUCUUUGAACGCACAUUGCGCCCCCUGGUAUUCCGGGGGGCAUGCCUGUUCGAGCGUCAUUUCACCACUCAAGCCUCGCUUGGUAUUGGGCAACGCGGUCCGCCGCGUGCCUCAAAUCGACCGGCUGGGUCUUCUGUCCCCUAAGCGUUGUGGAAACUAUUCGCUAAAGGGUGUUCGGGAGGCUACGCCGUAAAACAACCCCAUUUCUAAGGUUGACCUCGGAUCAGGUAGGGAUACCCGCUGAACUUAAGCAUAUCAAUAAGCGGAGGA
rnacentral:misc_RNA from 1 species